UCUCUCUUUCACUCACGCAGAACCCAGCCCCCCCUCUCUCUGCACUCCACGGAACCCUAGCCCCUUUUUCUUUCUCUAUCACAGCCAACAGCAGCAGGAAGCCAGGAGCCACUGCCCAGUUCCCAGCGCCGUCGUCACCGACAAACUCGUCUCCUCAGCCAGCGUCCAGCCUCGUCGUUGCCGAUCCUCUUCUCCCGGAUCCCAUCUCCUUGCGUCGCUAGGUCUCAUCGCCGCCGCCGGGUGGAACUAACCGUGGUGGCAUCAGGAAUCAUCGCCUGUAGAAGGUAAAGAUACUCGUCGUCUGUCGUCGUUUCUCUUCCCCUCGCCGUCGUCUCUCUCUAUCGCAGUCGAGCCCUCUCUGUCGCCGUUGAGCCCUCUCUCUGUGUUGUCGUUGAGCCCUCGAUCUCUGUGUGUCGCUGUUGAACUCUCGAUCUCUCUGUGUUGCCGUCGAGCUAACGACCCUUCUCCGUGAGUGGCAAGUUCAUGUGAAGGUUCAGGUUCUGUGAGAACGCCAAGAUGGAUCAAGUGAAGACAUCCAUAGAGAAUGGUGUUCUUACUGUCACUGUUCCUAAGGCUGAAGUUAAGAAACCUGGUGUUAAGCCCAUUCAAAUCACUGGUUAAACAAGAUAUUUUUUCUUAAUCCCCCCUUCUGGUUUUCAAGCUUGUGUUUGCGUUUUGUUGUGAAUUGUGAUUACCUAAUAUCUAUGAUGUUCAUGUCCUAGAAAUAUAAA